AAAGCUGUGCCCCUGUAGUGCAAUUCUACCUGCUCAGCCAGCUCCUGAGUGGUGUGCAAGCCAUCACCCUGCAGCACCCAGCUGGGGUUAACAUCUAAUGGGGCUGAUCUCUCAGUGGGUGUGUUUCUGCUCUCUGCUGUAAGCUGAGAUCAGUCUCCCAGUGCUCUUUUCAGCUGUGAAGUCAUUUCACUGAUCAGGUUUCAGUCAUGAUGGGUUCUGCUACUCAUGUUACAGAAGCAGUAAUGUAUUUAACUCCCAGAUUCUGUCCAUGUCUCUGAAGACAGAGUAUCUGUCACCAUCAAACACAACCACCUCAUCUUCCCUCCUACCAGUGAAGCUCUGUGGGCUCCUGCAAGCAGCCCUCAUUCCAUGCCUGACCAUCUUACUGAAGUGCUUCAGAGUCAGAAGCACAAAAUGCAAGGAUAAGUACAUGGAUAAAAGUAGCAAAAUUUCUUCUUGGCAGCAAAAUUUUUUUCUGAGAACGCAUCUUCCAGAACUAAAAAUAGUUCAUCCUAGAAUGGACAUGAGGACUGUCUGAAAUGAAAAUGAAAAUGACUAAUGCAAGCAAAGGGGAGAUGUUUUUAUUUCAGGUGGGGAAGCAGAGGGAAGUAUGGUAAACACUGGUCUACAACCUUCUGAAAAUUGUGUUUGAUUUUUUUAAAUUGUAUAUAAAUCUCAGCAGGAACAGGUUCAGAGAAAGACUACAACUAUGACCACAACAACUGAAUUCUUGUCUCAUGGAAUUAGAGCAAAAAAUUUGAGUUCAUUUUGCAAGUCAGAAAAAUUAAAAGGGGAGUUUUGAGGACCACCAGAAGUAAGAAGAUAUAGUUUAGCUGGAGGGAAGUGCUGUACAAAGAGCAAUGGAUCCAUAACUGGCAAUGAACUCAGUCUGGGAAUGUGUUCUGUCAUCUGAGGCAGUGGACCCCAACUUUAUACAGAACUGCCGCAUCAAGUCUGACUCUGGUUUCAUGAAGAGAUGAAUUUUUAUGAAGGGAAAGGACAGGUGAAUGCCACUGUGUUUUUCCCAAGAGGCGCCUCUCCUGCAAAGACCACAGAGUUCUUUGCUCCCACAUGUAGAUGGCUGCUUGAAAGGAAAACCUCUCUGCUUCUCUGGGCAAUGAAUACUUCCACCAGAAAAAACCACUGUAUUUGUUUGAAACAAACCCAUGUAAGAAAAGGAAAUCCUGAGAGACUCAGAACCAUCAAGAUCAGGAGUUUUCUUUGCAAUUGUUCAAUUCUAGGCAUUUAGGACUGCUAAAUGUGGGUAUCAAAGGAAAAAAAAAAAAAGAAAAGAAAAUACUCAAUAGCUUGUUGAUCAUUAAAGAAUACAAUAGGUAGUGGAGUGAGUUAGAAAAAAAAUCAUAUAAGCAUACAUAAUCACUGCUACUUCUUUCUAUAUGUCAGUCUCUGAGAAUGGUGCAUCUCCACCUCCCAAUGAACAUAGUAUUUGAGCUGUCACUGUACUGAAUAGAAAUUCUGAGCAAGGUGUCAAAGCACAGUGUUGAAAAAUCUAUUUUGCAAGUGAGAAGGAAUGAUUUUUGUAGAUGUACAGUAAAAAUUACUCUUCAGUCAAUUCACACACAACCUCAUUUCCAAAACACUAUAGUAAAAGCCAUGUAUUGUUACAGGUAAAGGAAUUCCUGUUCUCUACCAUAACUUUCCUUUGCUAAGCAUUAAUUGAGAAAAAUAUAUAUAAUUAUGAUUAUAUAUGCACAAACACAGAAAAGAAGCAAUACAAUAUCUUAGAACAGAGGUCAUUUGCUGACUUUAAUAAACUUUCUGAGCCACAUAAUCAAAACCGGUUGCAUUCCAUAGAACAUACUCUAAACAAAUGCAGAAUAUGUCUAUAAAAAAUACACUUUGAAAGCAGGUCAAAACAUAUCACACUGCUGACUUUCAAAGCUCCAUUACUGCAAAAGAGAUACAGAAACAUGCUAAAGCAUUGUCCUGACUGAUUCCCUGUGCAGAGCUUAGCUUAAAGUUUAUUGCUUAGGUAGAACAGAAAGAUCAAACCCAAAGUGUAGGACAUGAACAUUACUUUUCUCCCUCUCCUGAGCCAGACAGAAAGAUCAAAUUCUUUUAUUUACUAUAAAUGAAGUUCAACACAGACCAUGGCUUCUCUUUUUGUGCAUAGAUUUUUCUGCUUCUGUCACCAAGCACAAUGUGGCAGGACUGAACAUUCAAAAGAAAGGAAUUUUCAAGUUGUAAGAAAGAGUGCAUUCAGUCCCAGCAGUCUUUAAUGUCACACAUCUCUGGCUUGACUGGUCAGGGUUGUUUUAUGUCCCAGCAGUUUUCAGGAAAUACCAGGUCUGACCUUACUGCAGCUUCCAUUUGCACUGACAAACUCCUCACAGGACAUAACCUGUUUUCUGUGUAGUAAGAAGUAAAAUAAACUGCAUCUGGACCAAGGUAGUAGGUGUGUUGUGAGUUUAUUUAAAACUGACCUUUAGCCCCUGGCAGGAGUUUCUCAGGCUCUGAGGAGUUAUAUCAGGAAUGGACUUCUAUAAAGCAAAAGGGAAAGUAAUUUAGAAAUAUGGCAGUGUCAUGGUGCUGGCCAGGUUCUGAAGCCACAACUGCAUUUGGAAUAGUGUGCCCUGAAUUAACAAACUCUCUGGCAGCUGGCUAUUGAAGGUGAUUAACAGCUGUUUUAUGGGUUGUCUGCUUCAUUCCGUGCAUAUGUGUGCUGAGGGGCUGCUGAAGUGAUGUAGGAGAAUAAAUAAAUAAAGUCUCUGGGACUGGGAAGAAAUCAUCCUCUGUUGUGUUUUAAGGGAACCUGAAAUUCACGUAACAUUUUGAUCAAUUACUUUAAAUGUGCUUCAAAAGAAUUAAAAUGCCCACCCUUUAAAGUGGCCUUUAGUGUGACAAAUCUAAUGACAUGGCAAUAAACCAGAAAAUUGUGACUUUGUUGUUCUGCUGUUUUAUUGUUCAGCAGAGAAAAUGCUGAUGAGCACAAGAAUGCAUAAAAGAGACUGAAGAAUCUUGGCUGAGCCUCCAUUCAUAAAGCUUUAUUGAAAUACAAACAUGUCAUGGAAGUACAAAGCCAGCUAAAAUAUCUAAAACAGGUAGACUGAGACAAAGUAAUUUCACUGGAUACUAUCUAGCACUGCUAACUAACAUGGCUGAAGAAUUGGAGUUUCAGUUCACCUGCACAUAGGCGUUAACUGCUUUCUUCUCUUACCAGGGGUCUGUCAGCUGUGCAAUGAAAAUUAAUUGAACUCCCAAGAUUCCUAAACACAGCUUCUCUGGUUUUGUUCUUUUCCUCACUUACUCUUCAGUACAAGUAAGGAUGAAAUUGGGCAGGGGGAAUUGGUUGCCAGCAAAUGGUUUUUAUUCAAGAACUUCUUUCUUAAAAGGUAGAUUUCUAUAUUUUUUCCUAGUUUCUCUUCUUUCAAUGUGAGAUGCUGACAUCUGUUACUCUUGCCUUAGACUUAAAAAAAAAAGCUAUUAUUUUGUAAAGAGUUUUCAUUCACUGUAAUUUGCACUUAAGCAUUCAGCUUGUUAUAAAAGAUCUACUGUCAGGAAACUGAAAUUAUUCCUUUUUUUCUAAGAAAUACAGACUGACUCAAGCUAAACGUAUUUUAGGGAAAAUGCAUUCUCUUUCUUCUUUUGUCCAGUUUGAUCCUGUGGGUCAGAACUGCUGUAAAUUUCUCUUUGAAAAUUAUUUUAUCAUCAUUAAUUAUCAAAACAUGUGCACAUAGUAGCCAACCCAGACAGAAAUAUAAUCUCUGUAAAUUCCACAGCCUGCUCUAUUUUCUUCAGAAAUCUAAUCCAAAAAGUCUCAACUCAUUUCAUUUAUCCCAUUGUACAUGGGAUAAACUCUUGUUAUCCCCACGUUCUUGCAAGGAAAAGUUCCUUUUACCAUGUUGUUUAUUUAUUUAUUUGUUUGUUUUGCUAUUAUUUAAUUUCAAAGGA